rnacentral:lncRNA from 1 species
UUAUAUUAUAGUUCGUUUCUGUGUAUGUAACAUUUUAACGUUGCGUCGUUUGUUUUCUCUUAUUUUUUAGUGUAAAUUCACAUUGCGAUAAGACGUGUCACGGUACUUGUCUAUCCCAAAUUCAGGUAUUUGGUUUUGAUGUUAUAUUUGUUAUUCUCGUGGAAUUUUGUCUGAUGCUUGGUCCGUUUCUGUGUGUGUUACAUUGUAGUGGUGUGUCGUUGUUCUCCUCAGAUAUUU